CAUUCAUCAGCUCCGCCAUCUC
rnacentral:siRNA from 1 species